rnacentral:rRNA from 1 species
UUGACCUCGAAUCAGGUAGGAAUACCCGCUGAACUUAAGCAUAUCAAUAAAA